UGCCUUAAAUAAAAAAAGUCGACCAAACCUAAAAGCUUGUAAUUUUCUUAUCGAAGUAGCCUGAUAGUACGACAACUUUCUGGUAACCACCUCAAUGCUCUUGAACACGUUGCAACGUAACACAUCUCUCAUGUUUUAACCUACUUUACACCCGCUAUAAAACAUUAUCUGCCAUUAAAGUUUCCUACAUACAAACAGUCAACAAUAUUACAUUAGCAGAAAAACCGAUCGAUUGAAUUAAAGAAUCCAUUUGCAUGGGUGAAGAACAAGACAGAGUUUAGCCAAUUCGUGAACGAUCAAGGGUGAUCCAACUGCAUAUUGUUUGCGUUAUGUCGCUAUCUUCUUUUAUCAAGCAUUAAUUCCAUCAUGUUUAAAUAAGUCAUUUUAUUCCCUUGCAUAACUAUUGUCCUAACACACAUAAUUGCUACAAUAGGUUGUAUUCAUCUUAUUGUCUUGGUUGUUGUAUCAUCUCUUUAUUUAGUUUUGCAAUAUCGAUUGUUAUUGUUUGGUUGUUAAAUGCAUCUCAUAAAAAAUUGUAGAUGUCGUUGAUUAACUUCAAAUUACUUCAUUUUUCAAUGUAUGUAUCCUUAGAGGUUGUUUGAUAACCGUCUUACCAGACAAAAUCAAGAAGAGGCCUUGUUUACCACAUUGUAGUUUUGUUAGUCCUAUCAAUGGUGUUCUUUGUCCUUUAUUUGAUAGUUUUAAGGAUUGAACACAACAUUUUUUUAUGUCUAGUUUUUGUUUUUGUAUAUGUUUGUUUUGUAUGUACUGUUUGGCGUUUGUUUUAUGUUCUGUCUUAUUUGUCCAAUGUUUGUGUUUUGUAUUGUCUGCUUUAUCUGACUUGUCUUUCCAUCCAUCGUUUGUCUUCCAUUCUAUUUGUUUUGUCCAUUCCAUCUAGUGUUUGUGUCUUGUGCAAUGUGUUAUGUUUGUGUUGUCUGUUUUGUCCAUGGUUUGAUAAGAAAGACAUUUUAUUUGUUAGUGCUGUUUAUUCUAAAAUGUUGCUAAAAUAUGCAAAACCUAUUUCUAAUUAUGUCAUUGAAAACCUAUACAAAGAACUUGUUAUAUUGUUCAAUACAUUUAUAUUGUUAAGAUUUUGGUAAAGCAAGAUCAUGUUAAAAUAAGACAAAUAUAUAGAAUAUCCAUAUAGCCAAACCAACUUCUACGAAUUGAUCCGUUUAACAAGAACAUAAUCAGUGUUACAUAUUACAUUAAAUAGUCAGCAAUAGAAAAAUGAAACCAUAUAACAUCAAUACAAGAAGAAAUUAAAUUUCCACAUGUUGGAGGAACGUUGGCAUACAUCGACACAAAAACAGGAUAAAGAAGUCUAUAGACCCCAAGACAACAAGAGUAGAGUUACUAUAAACAUAUAGACACCUAUGACAACUUGCAACAACCAGUCUUCUUAGAUGUGUGUUGUUGCUCGGACUGCAUCUUGGCCAUUAUCCUUCUCUCGAAUACCACAUAAGAUUUGAGGCAAGGCAUCAUCAUUUAAUUACCGCAUUUGUAAAAAUAAAAAGGCCAUUAAAUAGUUAGAUUAUAUGCAUAAAAUAUGAAUUUAAUUGAACAUAUAAUUAGAAAAGUGGGCAGUUAAUAAAAAGGGGGGGCUUUUUCCCCCUUGUCUUCCACUUCAUCUUUUUCCUUUGGCUUGACCGUGUGAUAAGAGGAGGGCGGAGGUGUGGCAGCGGCGACGAUUGGGCCGACAGAGGAAGGCAACGGCGGCGGCAACGACAUUGCACAGCUUGGAGAUGCAUAUUUCCCCUCAUACCAGUAAAGUGAAGGCGUUGGUGGUGAAGAAAGCGAGGAAUCUUUGGCGUUGGCGCUCCAUGGAACAUUCGAGAUGACUACCGAGAACAUUGCAGCAGUUUGGACACUAAUAUUGGGGUGAGCAAGGCCUAAUCGAGCCUAAAUUAUUGAAUAUUAUCUAUUAGAGCAUGUAUAAUUAUUAUUUGAGCAUGCUAAACUCAUGAUUUGAUUAUUUGGAAUGCAAUGUAGCGAUGUUGUUAUUUUUUGGGAAGUUUAGGACUGUUUUGAGUAGGAUCAGAAUCCACAUGUAUAUCUAUCUUUUAGCAUGGUGGGUUGAUGUUCGAAGCGAUUAGAAAACAUGGUAGAGAUCGUGAUGUUGUAGAGAAGAUUUAGAACCAUUUUAACGAGCUUGGGAAAUAUGCUUUUAUUGAUGUACAUAUGUGUUGUAUGUUGAGAAUCUUAAUUGCAGGGAAGACACCUCAACUAAAGAAAGCAAUUGAAAAAUGUGUUAGUGAUGGAUUGAUCGAAAGCAUGGAGCUUAAAUCAUUGGGUGAGAACCUCAAGGGGUUGAGAAGAAGCCUACUGGAGGGCUUUGUGGGUCAACACUACCCGUUGACACCUUCUUGAGACGAUGACAUACCUCAAUGAGUAUAUCUUACACUUGUAUAGAUUGUAAAGUGAAAUAAGUAGAAAUCUUAUCACUUGUUUAUGUUUGCAGGUACACCGAGCACAUCCAGUAGAUCUUGAGCAACAAGACAUGAAGCUCGAGGCAUUUUGAAGUAUUUUGUGGAUGCAAGACAGAUGGAAUACCAACGUAGGGGUAAAAAGCGAGCUGGGCCGCCAACAAAGGCACAAAGAGAGCCAAGUUCGACCCAUUCAGAUGCAUAUACCCCAGUGGAUUAGUGUGGGUGCCCAAACACCACCAAGGCAGACUCCACCUGUGGAUUAGCAGACUAUACUGCUGACGACUUUGCAGACACUGACCUCUCUUGUACAGUUGAUGGUCAGCAAUCAAAGGAGUCAUGCAUCUCCUAUAGGAGACACAACUGCACCACCUAAGGAGAAAGCAACAACAGUAUCAUUCAAGCAGUUUAUGGUGAUGCAGUCGCCUAUCAUUACUGGAGAUAGCAGUCCAGACAAGGUAGAUGAAUGGACGUGAGAGAUUGAACACAUUUUUCGGCUUUUGAAGAUGCCAGAAGGAGACAAGGUCAACAGUCGAUCCCAUGGAAGCAGUUUAGGAAUUCCUCCUUCAGCACUUACUUUCCAGUGCAUGCUAGAAACAAGAAAAAGCAAGAGUUUCUUGAACUGCAAUACAAUCAUUUGAGCUUGGAAUAAUAUGUUAUUAAGUAUCGGCACUUGGAGGCGUAUUGCCUGCACAUCUAUACCACUUAUGAGGCCAGAGCAGACAAAUUCGUACUUGGUUUGUGUGAUGGGUUGUGAGGAAGAGUUAUGUCACGCAAACCUUGUGAUUUGGACGAGACAAUUACUAUGGCUAGAUGCAUGGAAGGGGGGCUAGGCAAGGACACAGAAGGACUAUCACAAGAAGGCAGGCCAGCACUCACACGGUGGGCGAAUGCAGGUCAAUCACCACCACUUUGCAGGCAGUGCAAAGCCUUAUGAGAGGCACAAUGACCGAACAUUUAGGCGGAACAAGCCAAACCGCAAUGAUGCCACACAGGGGUCAGUGGCUACUCCGACUUCACCGAGGUGCCCCACUUGUUCACGUGUGCAUCCUGGGAAGCCAUGCUAUCGGGAGACCGGAGCUUGUCUACACUGUGGAAAGAUGUGACACUUCAUCAAAGAUUGCUCCUUGAGGACGGGAAAAGAGUUGAAGAAGCCCAAGGCAGAUUCUUCUAACGCCAACAAAUAACUGGAUGUGUUAUGUGACUACUGUGAAGGAGCUUCAGGCACACGAUCUUAUCGAAGUGAAGCCCAUUGACAAAUAUCAUAGACCGACUACCAAAAAUUGGUGCAGUUUGCUCAAUAUGGUCUCUAUGAAGCUGCAUCAUCCAUGGACUUGUCAUCAGAUUCUUGACAACAUGUACAUUCUACUUUAGCAUUAAUUGUAAUGGGUGCGGCACCUGUCCUUGAAAAGUUAGAAAGUCCCUUCUGAAAUUAGAUACAAAGUCAAGCUGCAGAAUGAUUAUAACCAUAAUGAGGUGGUAGGAAUGGUUGCUUAUGCAUCAGCUGUGAGGCAUUCAACGAGGUAAAGGCUCAAAUGAGUAAGGUUUUGACGGACCCGGGGCAGCAGGUUGAUAAGAUGACUCAACUCAUAUUCUAUUGGGGAGAUUUUGGGUCUAUUGUAGUGCCAACGUGUCAUGUUUUGGUUUCAUUGAUUCUUUGUUUUUGUUAUGCAUCAAUG